AGAAAGAGUGAAGCAGGUAAGAGGGGAAAGCCAAUCCCAGGACGCUUUGGCAAGACAGUUGCUGCAGUGAAGAACUGGCAUUGAGUCACCGUGGGAACCUCCUGAGGAGCUGUGUGAAAAUGUCUCAGGAUUGACAAGUCACACGAGAGAAGGGAGAAGGCGCCCGAGCAGCCGAGGUGUGUGUCAGUUCCCUUGCACUUCCGGCUUUGCCCAUGGUUUGGAAUGACUGAGAAGUUCCCCACAGACAGCCACAGAGGCGGCAAAGAAGCCAAUGGUGCAGCAUGGAAGAGACUGUUGGUGAAGCUGAGGGGAGGUGCUGUCAACCACACCUGACCGGAGUUGGUUGCUGCAGCGAAGGCUGGAAAAAAGCAGGUUCACCUGAAGACCUUCUCCGUUCCCCCACUGGAAGCUGGAAAGAACCAAGACAGUGUUGGCUUGUGGUGCUACGAAAGGAAAGAGGUGGACCUGAGAAGCAGGGGAUCUUCCUGACCCAGAGAUGGAACCCACAUCUCCUGCAUUGGCAGGCAGAUUCUUUACCACUGAGCCACCUGGGAAGCCCCUUUUAAAGUGUCUGCCAACCCACAGAAGAAAUGCACAUUUGAGCAAAUGCACUAUAAUACCAGGAAAAAACUACGCAUAUAUUGCUAUAGAA
ensembl:lncRNA